rnacentral:misc_RNA from 1 species
CAUAGUAUUUUUCCCUGUUCUUUCAUUACAACUACUGGGUUUGAAGUAACCAUUGUUGUUAUCGUUUUCAUGAGAAUAAUUAUUGAGGCUCUUUAGG